UACAGUACAGCCGGUCAAUGGAUACAGCCAGGAACAGGUAGGUUACAGUACAGCCGGUCAAUGGAUACAGCCAGGAACAGGUAGGUUACAGUACAGCUGGUCAAUGGAUACAGGCAGGAACAGGUAGGUUACAGUACAGCUGGUCAAUGGAUACAGGUAGGUUA